ACGCCAGUCAGUGGGGACUUCGCCAGUGUCUAGUGAUUUCUGAUAUAUGAUGCACAGUAUAGGUGAAAUUUCAUGUGCUAACUCCUUAAGGAGGCGUGGCUUAAGUUCGUCUGGUCCACUUGCUUUUGAUGGGUUUAAAUUUAAAAGUAGUUUGGUGAUACCGUUGAUGGUUAUGUUUAUGUCUGGCAUGAUAGGAUAAGCUGUUUUUUGUUGCAUGUACUGAUUGUUUUCAAAUUCAGUAGCAGUGAUUUUGU
rnacentral:lncRNA from 1 species